rnacentral:rRNA from 1 species
UACGGAGGUGGCGAGCGUUGUCCGAAGUUACUGGGCGUAAAGCGCGCGUAGGCGGGGGAUUAAGUGAGAAGUGAAAGGCUGGGGCUCAACCCCAUGCAGUGCUUCUCAUACUGGUCUUCUUGAGGGGGGUAGAGAGAAGUGGAAUGGCUGGUGUAGCGGUGAAAUGCGUAGAUAUCGAGAGGAACACCAGUGGCGAAGGCGAGUCCCUGGACAGGUCCUGACGCUGAGGCACGAAAGCUAGGGGAGCAAACAGG